rnacentral:lncRNA from 1 species
UGCCGCUAUUUUACUGACCCUAACUAUAUAGUUGAAGACUCUAAGCAGGUCAGGACAAGAAGAAGACGACGCAACCGCAACCAGAGGAGGCAAAUCAUCAAGGACGGAUGAGCAGACUACGAAGGAGAAGUAGUAAGGUCUGAAGACAUACAGCUUGAUCAAAACUGUCCUGAGGAGACCGUAGCACUGAGUCAGGUGUGUAGAGAGAAGAUAGUUAUACAUGAAGAGCAGGCGCCGCCGGAACCAACGACUACGCCAUCCAGCGAAUCCCAAGACGACUGAG